rnacentral:misc_RNA from 1 species
CGUUAAACCAAGUACAUAGUCUCAACUAUACAAUAACUGCAAACACCCCAACAACACUAAUAGAAACAUGAUAAAGAUGCUUACGGAUAUCAAACAACAGUUAUUUGGAAUUUGCAAAUUUAACCUAAUACAGAAAAUAUUGAUGUCAACAACACAUGCGGUACUAAAGUUCCUUGAGUAAGCAGAAUGUUGAACUCAUCUCCUCCAACCAGGAAGCACCUUUUCGUCUUUCGAGGAGGAUAUCGGUCUGGUCUUAUUUCCACUUUUUCCAUUUGCUUGCCCUGGCUUUUGAAUCCGAGGUGACAAGGAGUUGAAUUUUCCAUUGGCAGAGGAUGGUAGAGAAUGACGCCGGACAAACCCAUUUUCAGCUCCAUCAUCACUUACCUUGGGAGAUCCUUGAGCUUUAAGCUUUGCCUUAGCAGAUUGAGUGGCAGCCAUAUAACUAGGCACACUUGGUGUAUUCUGUGAAAUAUUCUCAGAAUUGUCCUGCUUAGUGGGGAGAGACUUCCUCCUCCUAAUUCUUUCUUUGGUAGUCUGAUCGUCCAUCGAGCUAAUUUCCUCAUUAACAACAGGGCUGUUCGCAGUGUUGUUAACAUCCUCCGGCUGCUGCUGCUCAGUGGUAGGAUGAUCGUGCAGUACAUCCGUUGGCUCAUCCACUGCUACAGGUAAAGGAGCUUCACUUUCAACCAAUUUCUCGAUUUCAGGAGCUGAAUCACUUGUUUUCUCACAAGAAUUAACCAUCAUUUGCUCAACAACAUCUGGAGCUGAGGAUUUUGAUGCUGUGGCCUGAGCCUGAGCCAGAUUAGGAGUCUGUUGCGCUUUCUCAAUUUCUGUUUCAGACCUCUCAGAAGAUGUUGCCAAAGCUGCAGAAACCUUUCUUAAAUUGCGCUUGACUUUUUCAAGUUCAUUUUGAGGCUGAUCCUGUACUGGCUCUAUGUGAUGAUUCGAGAAUUUCCUUGGGUUGCGUUUAGCCUUUUCUGGUUCAGAGGAACUUACGCCAUGAGCAUCUCCAUUUGAUGCUGUAAGAACCUUCUUGACACUUCGUUUUGGUCGUACUGCUUCUGUUUCAACACUCGGCUUGUUACCCUGCUUCUUCAGCGACUUUGCUCCAACUACUUUCUUUGGUUGUGGAAGUGGUUCCCAAAAGCGAGAUAGUGACCAUCUUUCAAGCCACUGCCAAGCUGAAUUAGGUUCGCCCUCAUCAUACUGAAGGCUCAAUGGCAUGGCUGUUGGCACUGCCACAAGAAGCUUGCGUGGAAAUGCAUAAACUGUCAGCUUAGCUUGCCUCUGCUCAGGAUACUUAAGUUCCUCAAAACUAUACUUUCUGAGCAGAUGAUGCCCAGGAUCUAAGAGUCUACUCCUUCUGCCACGAGCUAAUGCCUGAAUCCUGACAAUUGCCUGCAUGCAGCGUAAAGUAGCAACUGCCUGUCUCCUUACCAAGUGCAGGCAAUUGUCAGGAUUCAG